UGCCUCAGUAACCGGCGAGUGAAGCGGCAAGAGCUCAACUUUGGAAUCGCUCCGGCGAGUUGUAGUCUGGAGGUGGCCNCCACGAGGUGUUCUAGCAGCAGGCAAGUCCUUUGGAACAAGGCGCCAGCGAGGGUGACAGCCCCGUACCUGCUUUUGCUAGUGCUUCCUGUGGCCCACCGACGAGUCGAGUUGUUUGGGAAUGCAGCUCUAAGUGGGUGGUAAAUUCCAUCUAAGGCUAAAUAUUGGCGAGAGACCGAUAGCGAACAAGUACAGUGAUGGAAAGAUGAAAAGCACUUUGAAAAGAGAGUGAAACAGUACGUGAAAUUGUUGAAAGGGAAGGGCUUGCACCCAGACACGGUUUCGGCCGGGCCAGCAUCAAGUAGAACGGGGUUAAAAGACCUGGGGAAUGUAGCUACCUCUUGGUAGUGUUAUAGCCCUUGGGUGAUGACCCCUGUUUUGCUUGAGGACAGCGGUCUCUAGGAUGCUGGCGCAAUGGUUGCAAGCCACCCGUCUUGAAACAC
rnacentral:rRNA from 1 species